GACAGAGGUGCCAAGCGUUAGGCGGAAUCACUGGGCUUAAAGCGUGUGUAGGCGGAUCGUUAAGUACCUUGUGAAAUCCCAGGGCUCAACCCUGGAAAGCCGGUGGAUACUGUCGGGCUAGAGUCCGGAAGAGGCGAGUGGAAUUCCUGGUGUAGCGGUGGAAUGCGCAGAUAUCAGGAGGAACACCGAUGGCGAAGGCAGCUCGCUGGGACGGUACUGACGCUGAGGCGCGAAAGCUAGGGGGGAGCAAACAGG
rnacentral:rRNA from 1 species